rnacentral:RNase_P_RNA from 1 species
AAAGCAAGCAAUUCUGUCGCCUUGAGAAAUUGAGGAGGAAAGUCCGGACAACAAAGGGCGCUACACUUUUGAAAGAAAAGAUGCUCGUGAGGGUAUGGUAACAGAGAAGAAAAAAACAGCUAUUGCAAGGUAGCAAAGGUGAGAAGGCGGUGUAAGAGACCACCGGUAGUAAUGGUAACGUUAUUAGCCGUCUGUCCUGUAGGUUGCAAGACCAUGUAUAUCGACAAUUAGGGCUGCUCGUCCGUGUCGAGGGGUAGGUUGCAUUAGAUAAAUGACAGAAAUUCAAUGAUUUGAGUACAGA